rnacentral:lncRNA from 1 species
CUUGAUAAUUUUUUUUACUUUUCUUAUUUUCCAUCAUGAAUAUUUAAUCAAAAGAAAGAAAAGAUAAAUAUGGCAUUGUGUUAGAAAAUAUAAUAUUUAAAAAUUAGAGAGAGGACAAGAUGGCGGAGGAGUAGGGGGACACGCUCGCCCUCUCCCACAAACACAACAAAAAAAGCACAUCUACAGAAGAAAUGACUCGCACAGAACAACAACCAAUCGCUGGCAGAGGAACCUAAACUCCAAUAACGGCAAGAAGUUCGUGACAUUAUUGGGCAGAACGGGAGAAAAGAGGAGAGUGAGAGAAGGUGAAUCCGAGCGGGACGGGCGCUCCCGAAAGGGAACUGCGGAGGAGAAAGGGAUCCCGCACCCUGGAAAGUCUCCUACCGGGGGAAAGAUCAAACGAACCGGAGGAAUCUCCAGAUGCAGAGAAGAGUGUAGCAGUAAGUCGGAGUACGGAAAAAAGAUCAAGAACCCAACGGACCAUCUGAACUACGGGCACAGUCAGCAAAAAUUGAGACGCCUGGGUGGGGGCUGGGCACCGAAUCCUCGGCUCCAGAGGUUAGUCCCCGGGAAAGGGCCGGGGGACGCCUGGGUGGGGGCUGGGCACCGAGACCUCAGCUCUGAAGGUUGGUCCCCGAGAGGGGCCGGGGGACGCCUGGGUUGGGGCUGGGCACCGAGACCUCGCCUCCGAAGGUUAGUCCCAAGAAAGGGCCGGGGGACGCCUGGUGGGGGGCUGGGCACCGAGACCUCAGCUCCAGAGAUUAGUCCCUGGGCUAGGGGGGCGGGGAAGAGCGGAAACUGCUUGGGAGGUCUCUAAACCAUUUGACGGGGCAGAGACUGCCUGGGAGACUAGAAAACAAAGCUGUCGCAGAGGAAGGGAGCAAUACUCUAGGGGCGGGGAAGUGGAAAGCCGCCUCAGAGGGAACCUGGAGAAGAGCCUGGUCUGCGCCCGUGCUGGGGAGGGGAGAGAAGAAGGGGUGGGUCCCCAUAGAAUACCCCCCACGCCACAGCAAGCUUACAGGCCCGCUAGCUAGCAGAAAGCUGUGCUUCCCAGUGCAUUCCCUCCCCCCACCCC